GGCCCUAUCGUCUAAUGGUCAGGACAUCGGCUUUUCAAGCCGGUAAUAAGGGUUCGAUUCCCUUUAGGGCUGCCA
rnacentral:tRNA from 1 species